UACGGAGGCAGCAAACGUUGCUCGGAAUCAUUGGGCGUAAAGCGCACGUAGGCGGCACGUUAAGCCGGAUGUGAAAGCCCAAGGCUCAACCUUGGAAGUGCAUACGAAACUGGCGAGCUUGAAUAUGGACGAGGGUCGCGGAAUUCCCGGUGUAGAGGUGGAAUUCGUAGAUAUCGGGAGGAACUCCAGUGGCGAAGGCGGUGACCUGGGCCAAUAGUGAUGCUAAGGUGAGAAAGCGUGGGGAGCAAACAGG
rnacentral:rRNA from 1 species